GAUGAACGCUGGCGGCGUGCCUAAUACAUGCAAGUCGAGCGAACAGACGAGGAGCUUGCUCCUUUGACGUUAGCCGCGGACGGGUGAGUAACACGUGGAUAACCUACCUAUAAGACUGGGAUAACUUCGGGAAACCGGAGCUAAUACCGGAUAACAUGUUGAACCGCAUGGUUCAACAGUGAAAGACGGUUUUGCUGUCUCUUAUAGAUGGAUCCGCGCCGCAUUAGCUCGUUGGGAAGGUAACGGGUUACCAAGGGAACGAUGCGUAGCCGACGUGAGAGGGUGAUCGGCCACACUGGAACUGAGACACGGUCCAGACUCCUACGGGAGGCAGCAGUAGGGAAUCGUCCGCAAUGGGCGAAAGCCUGACGGAGCAACGCCACGUGAGUGAAGAAGGUCUUCGGAUCGUAAAACUCUGUUAUUAGGGAAGAACAAAUGUGUAAGUAACUAUGCACGUCUUGACGGUACCUAAUCAGAAAGCCACGGCUAACUACGUG
rnacentral:rRNA from 1 species